rnacentral:rRNA from 1 species
AGCAGUCGCCACGGUAAUACAGAGGGUGCGAGCGUUAAUCGGAUUUACUGGGCGUAAAGCGUGCGUAGGCGGCUAAUUGAGUCGGAUGUGAAAUCCCCGAGCUUAACUUGGGAAUUGCAUUCGAUACUGGUUAGCUAGAGUGUGGGAGAGGUUGGUAGAAUUCCAGGUGUAGCGGUGAAAUGCGUAGAGAUCUGGAGGAAUACCGAUGGCGAAGGCAGCCAUCUGGCCUAACACUGACGCUGAGGUACGAAAGCAUGGGGAGCAAACAGGAUUAGAUACCCCAGUAGUCCCUGUCUCUUAUAA